rnacentral:rRNA from 1 species
AAUAAUGAGUGCACUUUAUUGUGGCUCUAAAAUUUUCAAUAAAUUUCACCCAUUUUAAACCCAAAGCUGUUAUGUGUACCUCUUUUGGUAUAACAUCUCAGUAGUACGCAUCAUGUGGGAUCUUUUUCUCACAAGUUGCAUUACCCCCCCUUUAUAAGUGACCCACUUUAUCAAUUACUCUAAAAUGUUUUAGGAAUGUAAAUGCCCCUUUAAUUAUAUAUAACUUUUAACAAUGGAUCUCUUGGCUCUCACAUCGAUGAAGAACACAGUGAAAUGUGAUAAGUAAUGUGAAUUGCAGAAUUCAGUGAAUCAUCGAAUCUUUGAACGCACCUUGCACCUUUUGGUUAUUCCGAAAGGUACACCUGUUUGAGUGUCAUGAAACCCUCUCAUUCCAAUUCUUUAUUUAUUUAAAGGGUUGUGAUAUGGAUGUUGAGUGCUGCCGUUAUUGGCUCGCUUUAAAUAUAUAAGUACUUUUAUCAAACAAUAAAUGGAUUUACUUGGUGUAAUAUUUAUUAUUCAUUGAGGAGUGUGGUUUAAUUACUGCAGCCAUUUGCCUUUUGAUAGAUAGCUUCCGAACCCCAAUUAUUAUGUAUUUAGACCUCAAAUCAGGUGGGACUACCCGCUGAACUUAAGCAUAUCAAUAAGCGGAGGAAAAGAAACUAACAAGGAUUCCCCUAGUAACGGCGAGUGAAGAGGGAAAAGCC